rnacentral:rRNA from 1 species
UGGGGAAUAUUGGACAAUGGGGGGAACCCUGAUCCAGCCAUGCCGCGUGUGUGAAGAAGGCCUUAUGGUUGUAAAGCACUUUAAGCAGUGAAGAAUACAUCAUGGCUAAUAUCCGUGAUGAAUGACAUUAGCUGCAGAAUAAGCACCGGCUAACUCUGUGCCAGCAGCCGCGGUAAUACAGAGGGUGCGAGCGUUAAUCGGAAUUACUGGGCGUAAAGCGAGCGUAGGUGGUUUAUUAAGUCAGAUGUGAAAUCCCUGGGCUUAACCUAGGAACUGCAUCUGAUACUGACAAACUAGAGUAGGUGAGAGGAAAGUAGAAUUCCAGGUGUAGCGGUGAAAUGCGUAGAGAUCUGGAGGAAUACCGAUGGCGAAGGCAGCUUUCUGGCAUCAUACUGACACUGAGGUUCGAAAGCGUGGGUAGCAAACAGGAUUAGAUACCCUGGUAGUCCACGCCGUAAACGAUGUCUACCAGUCGUUGGGUCUUUUAAAGACUUAGUGACGCAGUUAACGCGAUAAGUAGACCGCCUGGGGAGUACGGCCGCAAGGUU